ACUAUUUUCUUCAUUUUACAGUGACGGUUAUGGUGGCACCGCAGUGGUGAAUUCGAACCCGGAAGUCUACAAUCAGAGCUCGCAGACUGUCCCAUCUGAACUCUGAUCGCACUCCACCGUCGCAUCACCGUCGUUUAACUUCCGGAGCUUACGAUUCGGACAUUGCAGGUAGAGAAGCACCGGAAUCGAACAAUUAGGGUUUUCAGCUUCGAAACUUUCCGGGAUUGCGAUCACCGCCGAGGUUCGACGGAGGACUCGAUCUCAGUGGUGGGACAAUGAAUUUUCUUAUGCGAUCUACUCACCAUGUACAGCGUGUGACGGCAGAACAGCCAUCUGUUCUGUCUGUACCGCCUGUGCCUCCUGUCCACGAACCACCUGCAGAGACGUAUCCUACCCCAAAAUCAGCAACAACCUUGGAGGGUCUAAUUGCUGAAGAUUCAUAUCCACAGUAUUCCACAACCGAAGAUAAUGCUGCAGAAAGUGAAUCUAGUGGUGAAAAUGGAAUUGGUGCACAGAAGGAAACCUCUAUCAUAGCAAAGCAUUAUGAUGUCUCUGAUGAGGAGGGAUGGAUUGCCAUUCCAUACACUUGUUUUGCUCUUGCAGAAGAACUCCCUGAUAAUUGGAAUGAUGCACCAGAUAUACAGUCAUUACGCCCUCUGGACCGCUCCUUUGUUUUCCCUGGUGAACAAGUUCACAUCCUUGCAUGCUUGUCAGCAUGUAAGCAGGACACAGAAAUUAUUACUCCCUUUAAAUUGGCUGCAGCCAUGAAUAAAAAUGGCAUAAGACUAAGUCCAAAGAAACAAAAUCGAAAUGUGGAAGAUAGCAAUGGUACAUUGUUGGGAAAAGGAGAUAUGAGUCCUAACAGUCAAGGUACCGAUCAAAAUGGUGAAACCCUUUCAAAAGAGGGGACUGAUUCACAAAAGGAUGUUUCUGCUAGUGAAUCUCUUCUCAGAAUGGAGGAUCACAAAAGACAGACUGAAAUUUUAUUGCAAAGAUUCGAAAGGUCUCAUUUUUUUGUUAGGAUUGCAGAGUCAAGUGAGGCACUUUGGGCAAAAAAAAGUACUUCUAAGAAGUCUUCAGAAUCCGUUGAGGCGGAUGGUCAAGAGUACAUGGAAAAUGGAACCCAGAAAACUGCAGUAAAUGCCAUUAUUGAUAAAGGGAAUUUUGAUCCCAAUGUAUCUGGAGGCGUAGCAAGAAAUAAUGUCAAGUGUUGCUCUCUUUCUAAUGGUGACAUAGUGGUUCUUUUACAAGUGAAUGUUGGUGUAGAUUUUUUGAAUGACCCUGUUAUUGAGAUUCUUCAGUUUGAGAAAUAUCGUGAGAGAAGUUUGUUUGCUCAGACUCAGGACAGCUUAGUUGAUGCAAAUCAGGACCCAUGUGGAGAAUUGUUGAAAUGGUUGCUUCCUUUGGAUAACACCCUUCCACCUCCUGCUCAACCUUUAUCUCCUCCUUUAACUUCCAAUUCAGCAAUUGGUAGCACAUCUCAAAAAUCUGGUUCUCAACUCUUAUCCCAUUUUAGAAGUUACUCCAUGUCAUCAUUACCACAAAAUACUACACCACCACCGGGACCUAUUAAAGCUGCAAGUUCUAAGCCAAGCUUUGAUCUUGAAGACUGGGAUCAGUAUUCAUCUCAGAAGUUCUUGAAGAAUCAAAAAACUGGUGGCGAGGGGCUUUUAUCUUUUCGAGGCGUGUCAUUGGAGCGAGAAAGAUUUUCUGUUCGUUGUGGAUUGGAGGGAAUCUAUAUACCUGGAAGAAGAUGGAGGAGAAAACUUGAAAUCAUACAACCGGUAGAAAUCCAUUCUUUUGCUGCUGACUGCAAUACAGAUGACCUUCUUUGUGUCCAGAUAAAGAAUGUUUCUCCAGCACAUGCACCAAAUAUUGUGGUGUAUAUUGAUGCUAUAACAAUUGUUUUUGAGGAGGCUUCGAAAGGUGGACAAUCCUUAUCAUUACCAAUUGCAUGUAUUGAAGCAGGAAAUGAUCACAGUUUGCCAAAUCUUGCCCUCAGGAGAGGUGAAGAGCAUUCCUUUAUUCUUAAACCAGCAACAUCCUUGUGGAAGAAUUUCAAGGCUGGUGGUGAUAGAAGAAAUCACUCAUCACAACUACAGGCUGGAAAUGCAGCACCAAGCUUGCGUCUGCCGCCCAAGACUGUUGAAGGAAAGAAGAGUGCUUCAACUGCUGAUCAGUACGCAAUUAUGGUAUCAUGUCGGUGCAACUACACUGGGUCAAGAUUAUUUUUCAAACAGCCAACAAGUUGGUGUCCGCGUGUUUCAAGGGAUCUUAUGAUCUCUGUUGCAUCUGAAAUGUCCGGACAAUCUAGUGCACCCAACGGAGGAGUCUCUCAGCUUCCUGUUCAGGUCUUGACUCUCCAGGUUUCAAAUCUAAUGUCAGAAGAUCUAAAUCUAACAGUUCUUGCUCCAGCUUCAUUCACUUCCCCUCCUUCAGUGGUCUCCUUGAAUUCUUCCCGUGCUUCACCAAUGAGUCCAUUUUUAAGUUUUCCUGAGUAUACAGGAAAAAGUCCUACAAUACAGAGGCUAAGCUCACCACUCCUUUCGGACAAUCAGAAACAAAAUGUUAAAGGUGGAGUUUGGCCAGCUUCUUUUAGCGAACAGACUUCUCCAUUGUCUGAUGCCAUUCCAAGCACUGGUCUGUGUUGUACACAUCUGUGGCUUCAGAGUAGAGUUCCACUAGGGUGUGUCCCAUCUCAAUCUAUGGCAACCAUCAAGCUUGAGCUACUUCCAUUGACGGAUGGUAUAAUUACACUGGACACUCUGCAAAUUGAUGUCAAGGAAAAAGGUGUUACCUACAUACCCGAGUACUCACUGAAGAUUAAUGCGACUUCCAGCAUUUCCACGGGGAUUCUUUAGGAAACAUACAGUGCAGCAUGCAUUUCAUCCUCCCAUUUUAACCCGAGCCGUGGAAGAAUUUUGAGCCGUCGCAUGUGUAGUCAUCCAGCAUCAGGCUCUUGGCAACAGUGUCUCUCUGGAUCACGGCCGGAUACAUCACGUGUAAUAGUACAAUUGUUUGGAAACUGAAAACAAAAUUUCCAACCAAUUGUAUGAAAAAUUUCCCCACCAUAUGAUGCGAUGCCUCUCGCAACAUUUUCACGAGGACCUUACGUGCACCCGCUACGUGACUAUACGGUAUAUUAAACUAAUGACGGAAUGUUAUUUGUUUUAAUUUUUCAAACACAGUGCGUUAUUUAUAUUGUCGCAAUAGCUACGUGACUAUACAGUAUAUUAAACUAAUGAUGUAAUGUUAUUUGUUUUAAUUUUUCAAACAUAGUGCGUUAUUUAUAU